ACCAUAAUCCUGUUUCCUGAUAGCUUUAUCUUUCAACAUUUGCUGAGUUUUUGGGAAAUCAUGAUUGGUUAUUUGGUGAUUGAUGUCAUUCCUCGGAGCGUUCACCCGAUGGCUGAAUACCAUGGAGCAGCUCAUAAGGUCGGAGGAAAUUUUGCAUAAAGCUAUGUUUAUGAUGUAGCAAGACGAGACACAUUUACAAUUCUUGUGGAUAUAAGGGCUAAGGAAAUCGAUCUCUACUCAACUAAUCAAGAUUGCAUCAAGAUGCUUGUUGGAAACAAAGUUGAUAAGGAAAGUGGAAGGGUUGUCACGAAGAAAGAGUGAAUUGAUUUUGCUUGGGAGUAUGGAUGUCUUUUCUUUGAAUGUAGUGCAAAAACUCGAAUUAAUGUACAACAGUGUUUUGAAGAGCUUGUUUUAAAGGAAUUGUAAUUAGAUUCUUCUCAGCAUGUUCGCGCUGCUUCCUCCAAGGCUACUCUGAAUCAACCAACAAUCAGAGUUGUAGCUAUAAUAGCUGAAGGUUGUAAAGAAGCCUCCACCUACUCUAAUGGAGAACACAUAAUCAAAAGUGAAAAAUAAGCAAGAGGAGCCCAAAGCCAGUGAGAUGAAAGCGGCUGGGGUUGGACUAAAAGUUUGUUGGAAAUUUGGUCAAAAUGCAAUUCUAUAGGCCAAUCUUUCUACACAAGAGAGCAGUAAUGGUAUGGCCUUUCUGAUGAUUUAAUAGGCUAGAACAUUGGUUUGAUAUGUUCCACUAUGGGUGGACUCUGAUAUGCUCCAAAAAUCUACUCAGCUGGAUAAUCUUAAAGUUUUUAUUCAGGAGAAUCUUGACCACAAGGUUUCACAUGUAAAUUCCUAGAAGCCAAAUCCUGUUUUUUAGUAUCUAAAACUUCCCUGCCAUUAUUUCAAAUCACAGGUGAUGGACCACAAUUUGUGGGCUUGAUGUUUGUAAUCUAGAUGUAAAAUACCUCUGUUAUGAGUGGUCUAGAUGUUGCACAAGUUGAUAUUGGUUUGUGUACUGCAAAUUGCCUCGUCAAUCUCUCCUCAUGCCAGUCAACCUAGCAUUUCUGAUCGAUAUUUUCAGAAAUUGACCUUUUUUUUGGAGAUUUCUUUGUUUGGAUUUUUUUUUUUUUUUUUUCCAAUUUAAGGAAUUGCAGUGAGUUGUGAAAAACCAUGGUGGAUCUGUUCUUAUUGGAUGCUUGUUUUGGUCUUUUGGAUAUGCAUGUAUUGAAUUUUUGUAACAAAAACACGAUA